rnacentral:rRNA from 1 species
GAUGAACGCUGGCGGCGUGCCUAAGACAUGCAAGUCGAACGGCAGCACGGGAGCAAUCCUGGUGGCGAGUGGCGAACGGGUGAGUAAAGUAUCGGAACGUGCCCAGUCGUGGGGGAUAACGUAGCGAAAGUUACGCUAAUACCGCAUACGAUCAAUGGAUGAAAGCGGGGGAUCGCAAGACCUCGCGCGAUUGGAGCGGCCGAUAUCAGAUUAGGUAGUUGGUGGGGUAAAGGCUCACCAAGCCGACGAUCUGUAGCUGGUCUGAGAGGACGACCAGCCACACUGGGACUGAGACACGGCCCAGAAUCCUACGGGAGGCAGCAGUGGGGAAUUUUGGACAAUGGGCGCAAGCCUGAUCCAGCCAUGCCGCGUGCAGGAUGAAGGCCUUCGGGUUGUAAACUGCUUUUGUACGGAACGAAAAGGUUUGACUUAAUACGUUGGACUCAUGACGGUACCGUAAGAAUAAGCACCGGCUAACUACGUGCCAGCCGCCGCAGUAA